rnacentral:snRNA from 1 species
AGCUUUGUGCAGUGGCAGUAUCGUAGCCAAUGAGGUUUAUCUAAGGCACGAUUCUUGCUAAUUGACAAG